GGUGGCUUAGUGGUAGAGUGCUUGCCUUACAUGCAUGAAGUCCUGGGUUUGAUUCCUCAGCACCA
rnacentral:tRNA from 1 species